UAGGAGGACAUGAGGUGACCUAUUAAUCCCC
rnacentral:piRNA from 1 species